AUGACGUCUGAGGAAGCGGCACUCGAUGCGCCAUCUUGGAGCGCAGAGCAUGCUAAGGCCUUCAACUUCAGACUGCAGAGCCGGGGCACCUACAAUUGUCUGACAUCACCCAGCCUCAGGAGCCAGACUCACCCAGCAAGCCAGGGGCGCGGGGCGCCUCGGCCUCCGCCCUGGUGUGCAGACUCUGCGGGAGCUGGGUAGUCUCCAGCCACUCACUUUCCUCGGGGAGUGCUGGGGCUGCUGCCGCUGCAUCCAGAAUCAGCUCAGACGCCUAGAAUGGCAAGCACAGGACUGUUCGGCAGCUGCCCCUCAGGAGCCAUCCCCACCACCACCGAACAACCAAGGAACGGGCGUCAUCCCCAAAGGCUCUGUCCCAGGGCAGCGCGCGGUGUCGCGCCUGUUGUUCCCGUGCUUUGGGAUGCUGAUGCUGGAGGAUUGCUUGAGGCCAGGAGUUUGGGACCAGCCUGGGCAACACAGCAAGACUCUGCUUAUACAAAAAAUAAAUAACCACUCCUAAA